rnacentral:rRNA from 1 species
AGAGUUUGAUUCUGGCUCAGAACGAACGCUGGCGGCGUGGAUAAGACAUGCAAGUCGAACGAGAGAAUUGCUAGCUUGCUAAUAAUUCUCUAGUGGCGCACGGGUGAGUAACACGUGAGUAACCUGCCCCCGAGAGCGGGAUAGCCCUGGGAAACUGGGAUUAAUACCGCAUAGUAUCGAAAGAUUAAAGCAGCAAUGCGCUUGGGGAUGGGCUCGCGGCCUAUUAGUUAGUUGGUGAGGUAACGGCUCACCAAGGCGAUGACGGGUAGCCGGUCUGAGAGGAUGUCCGGCCACACUGGAACUGAGACACGGUCCAGACACCUACGGGUGGCAGCAGUCGAGAAUCAUUCACAAUGGGGGAAACCCUGAUGGUGUGACGCCGCGUGGGGGAAUGAAGGUCUUCGGAUUGUAAACCCCUGUCAUGUGGGAGCAAAUUAAAAAGAUAGUACCACAAGAGGAAGAGACGGCUAACUCUGUGCCAGCAGCCGCGGUAAUACAGAGGUCUCAAGCGUUGUUCGGAAUCACUGGGCGUAAAGCGUGCGUAGGCUGUUUCGUAAGUCGUGUGUGAAAGGCGCGGGCUCAACCCGCGGACGGCACAUGAUACUGCGAGACUAGAGUAAUGGAGGGGGAACCGGAAUUCUCGGUGUAGCAGUGAAAUGCGUAGAUAUCGAGAGGAACACUCGUGGCGAAGGCGGGUUCCUGGACAUUAACUGACGCUGAGGCACGAAGGCCAGGGGAGCGAAAGGGAUUAGAUACCCCUGUAGUCCUGGCAGUAAACGGUGCACGCUUGGUGUGCGGGGAAUCGACCCCCUGCGUGCCGGAGCUAACGCGUUAAGCGUGCCGCCUGGGGAGUACGGUCGCAAGAUUAAAACUCAAAGAAAUUGACGGGGACCCGCACAAGCGGUGGAGUAUGUGGCUUAAUUCGAUGCAACGCGAAGAACCUUACCUGGGCUUGACAUGUAAUGAACAACAUGUGAAAGCAUGCGACUCUUCGGAGGCGUUACACAGGUGCUGCAUGGCCGUCGUCAGCUCGUGUCGUGAGAUGUUUGGUUAAGUCCCGCAACGAGCGCAACCCCUGUUGCCAGUUACCAGCACGUGAAGGUGGGGACUCUGGCGAGACUGCCCAGAUCAACUGGGAGGAAGGUGGGGACGACGUCAGGUCAGUAUGGCCCUUAUGCCCAGGGCUGCACACGUACUACAAUGCCCAGUACAGAGGGGGCCGAAGCCGCGAGGCGGAGGAAAUCCUGAAAACUGGGCCCAGUUCGGACUGUAGGCUGCAACCCGCCUACACGAAGCCGGAAUCGCUAGUAAUGGCGCAUCAGCUACGGCGCCGUGAAUACGUUCCCGGGUCUUGUACACACCGCCCGUCACAUCAUGGAAGCCGGUCGCACCCGAAGUAUCUGAAGCCAACCGCAAGGAGGCAGGGUCCUAAGGUGAGACUGGUAACUGGGAUGAAGUCGUAACAAGGUAGCCGUAGGGGAACCUGCGG